GGGGGAGCUGACUGUGGACUGGGUGGCACCCCUCUGCCUGCCUGCCUGCCUUGCUGCUCUGGCUCUCCCUGGAUCCUGGGGGAGCUGACUGUGGACUGGUGAGCUCCCCUCUGAGCCAGCACAGACCCCUCACCUCUGGGAAGGCUGCUGCCUCCUUAGAGUUUGAGGAGCCCCCACAUGGGGGCUCUAGGAAUGCCAGUGUGCUGGCCUUUCCAACCUGGUGCUCUUCUGCUGGGGGAAUGAGGCUGGUCCUCAUUCAGGGGUUGGGAACUGAGGUUGUGUCUGCUCUCUCCCACCCCAUCUUCUGGCAGAAAACAACUGGACUCUACGCUGUGGACUAUCCCUAGUCCACCACCAUGUUGAAGCCCUUGGCAGCCUGAGAGCUCCAAGGAACAAGCUGUGACAACCAGAAGCCCUGUCUGGGGGGUGGUCCGCCCGGGGCCUGGAGCCUAAGCCCUGUGUUCCUGGGGCAGUGGGGACUUGGGAAGUGAUGAGUGUGUCAUGUUGCAUGUGUCCUCUGUGAGCCUUCCACACCUGUGCUGGUGCUGGAAAGUUAUUUGUGCUCUGCUGACAUUUAACACUCCCUCCCCCACUUCCUCCUAGCUCUGUGGGCAGGGGUUGGAAACUUAGCACUUUAUAUUUAUACAGAACAUUGAGGAUGUGUCAAUAAAAUAUUGUUUUGUUUAAAAAAACAACAGUC